rnacentral:tRNA from 1 species
GCUACUGUGGCUCAGUCGGUAGAGCAGCUGAUUCGUAAUCAGCAGGUCGUCGGUUCGAUCCCGAUCAGUAGCU